rnacentral:rRNA from 1 species
UACAGAGGUCUCAAGCGUUGUUCGGAUUCAUUGGGCGUAAAGGGUGCGUAGGCGGCGCGGUAAGUCGGGUGUGAAAUCUUGGAGCUUAACUCCGAAACUGCAUUCGAUACUGCCGUGCUUGAGGACUGGAGAGGAGACUGGAAUUUACGGUGUAGCGGUGAAAUGCGUAGAUAUCGUAAGGAAGACCAGUGGCGAAGGCGGGUCUCUGGACAGUUCCUGACGCUGAAGCACGAAGGCCAGGGGA